rnacentral:tmRNA from 1 species
GGGGCUGUAAUGGUUUCGACGUGUUGGCGAAAGCUGCCCCGUGAUGCAGGUCGAGAGUGAGUCUCCUCUCGCAAAUCAAGGCUCAAAAAAAACGUAACUGCGAACAACAUCGUAGCAUUUUCUCGUAAGGCAGCAGCCGUUGCCUAAAAAUCCUUAAACUUUAAGGUACGAGAGUUCCUGAUUUGACUCCGUUAAGGAUCUAGGGACAAACCCCCAACGGAUGCAUUAGUUAGUUGUCUCUGGUAGACUAACUGGUAAAGACUUCAUCAGAGAAUCCACGUCAUCUGGAACAAUCGAUGGUUCCCGCUCUGAGGACUAGAAGAGCUAAACCUGUGAAGGAACGGUAAGUCAAUACCCAGUGCGGACGGUGAGUUCGAUUCUCCCCAGCUCCAUAA